AUUGAACGCUGGCGGCAGGCCUAACACAUGCAAGUCGAACGGAAGAAGGGAGAUUGUUGCUGGUUUCAGGGGGGGACGGGGGAGGUAUGCCUAGGAAUCGGCACCGUAGUGGGGGAGAUGGAUAGGGAAUGGGCGCGAUUACCGCUUACGCAUAGAGGGGCAACGUGGGGGAGGUUGGGACUUGUCGCUCUUGGAUGCGGCUAGGUCGGAUUAGCUAGUUGUUGGGGUAAAGGUCUACUCAGGCGACGAUCCGUAUCUGGUCUGAGAGGAGGAUCAGCCACACUGGAACUGAGACACGGUCCAGACGCCUACGGGAGGCAGCAGUGGGGAAUAUUGGACAAUGGGCGGAAGCCUGAUCCAGCCAUGCCGCGUGUGUGAAGAAGGUCUUCGGAUUGUAAAGCACUUUAAGGGGGGAGGAAGGGCAUUAAGUUAAUACCUUGCUUUAGUGACGUUACCAGCAGAAGAAGCACCGGCUAACUUCGUG
rnacentral:rRNA from 1 species